UAGGAGAUCACAGUUUCCUGUAAUGCUGACACUGGCUCAGACGAUGACAGUACAAGUGUGACCAUGCCAACUGGUGUCUCAACCUUUUUACUGGAUUGUAUGGACUCAGACACAAGUUCCUCGGUCCUGUCCUCGCCUGAGGUUUUUCGUAAACGGGACUCUUAUGCCUUAGAAGAGAUGGCUCAGUGCUUUAGUGACGAUGAUCUCAAGGACCUGCCCCUGAAAAAUUCAACUCUUCUAGAUGUCAGCUCUGCCCAGGACAUCAUUACACAACAGCCCCCAAAUCUCUCAUCCAUUUUAGAAGCCUCUGGAAAGAUUGAUGCAGUGCCUGGAAACAUGUUAGUGUGAGUGUGAAUGCAAUCCCUCAAAUACGUGAC
rnacentral:lncRNA from 1 species